rnacentral:rRNA from 1 species
CGUGAUCCGCCCUUCGGGGUGGUGAAAGUGGCGCACGGGUGAGUAACGCGUGGAUAAUCUGCCCGAGGAUUUGGGAUAACAUCUCGAAAGGGGUGCUAAUACCGAAUAAGCCCACGGGGUCUACGGAUCUUGCGGGAAAAGGGGGGGACCUUCGGGCCUCCUGUCCUUGGAUGAGUCUGCGUACCAUUAGCUAGUUGGUGGGGUAAUGGCCUACCAAGGCGACGAUGGUUAGCUGGUCUGAGAGGAUGAUCAGCCACACUGGAACUGAGACACGGUCCAGACUCCUACGGGAGGCAGCAGUGGGGAAUUUUGCGCAAUG